rnacentral:rRNA from 1 species
GUUACUGCUAUCGAGGUUCGACUAAGCCAUGCGAGUCGAAUGUAGCAAUACAUGGCGUACUGCUCAGUAACACGUGGAUAACCUACCCUUGAGAUGGGAAUAAACCCGGGAAACUGGGUAUAAUACCCGAUAGAUCUCGACUGCUGGAAUGCAUCGAGAUCCAAAGCUCCGGCGCUCAAGGAUGGAUCUGCGGCCUAUCAGGUAGUAGUGGGUGUAGCGUACCUACUAGCCUACGACGGGUACGGGUUGUGAGAGCAAGAGCCCGGAGAUGGAUUCUGAGACACGAAUCCAGGCCCUACGGUGUGCAGCAGGCGCGAAAACUUUACAAUGCUGGAAACAGCGAUAAGGGGACCUCGAGUGCAGGUUACAAAUCUGGCUGUCGUGAUGCCUAAAAAGCAUUGAUACAAGGCCGGCAAGCCGUGCACCGCGCGGUACACGCGCUCGAGUGGUACCGUUAUUAUUGGUCUAAGGGUCUGAGCGGCCGGAUAGUCUCUUGGAAAUCUGCAGUUACUGUCAGCUUCAGAGAUACUGUCUGCUCGAGGCCGGAGAGGUAGAGGUACUUCAGGGUAGGGGUAAAUCUUGUAAUCCUUGAAGGCCACAGUGCGAAGGCGUCUCACCAGAACGACCUGACGGCAAGGACGAAAGCUAGGGGCACGAACCGGAUUAGAUACCCGGGUAGUCCUAGCCGUAAACGAUACUCGCUAGGUGUCGGCAACGGUGCGACCGUUGUCGGUGCCGUAGGGAAGCCGUGAAGCGAGCCACCUGGGAAGUACGGCCGCAAGGCUGAAACUUAAAGGAAUUGCGGGGGAGCACCACAACAGGUGGAGCCUGCGGUUUAAUCGGACUCAACGCCGGAAAACUCACCAGAUAAGACAGCUGAAUGAUAGUCGGGCUGAAGACUCUACUUGACUAGCUGAGAGGAGGUGCAUGGCCGUCGUCAGUUCGUACUGUGAAGCAUCCUGUUAAGUCAGG